UAUUUUGCUGUCAGUCCUCAGGCUCAAUUCGUAUUUUUACUGCUUGCACUGAUUUUUCCAAACGUAACCAGCUUACUACAGCUCUUAUAAGGAUAUGCCAUAAUUAAUGUAACCAAAAAAUUAAAACGCAUCAUUGAGUUGAUCAAAUAUCAGCCUGGUUUUCAUUCAUGUCAAAUUAAAUAUGGCAUCUACUCCACCUAAGGUCCAUUCAUCAUUUUAGAUAGAAUGAAUAUUGACCAAACAACUAUGAGAUUAUUAUUUUAGUUCGUUCUGAUCGCACAACAGAACAUAGUAGAUUGAACGUUUUAGUCACAUGAGAUUAUGGAUUCUGCAUCUACCUUAUUCAUCAGCGGUCCUGUAUUAAUUUAGAGAUAUACGUAUGUAUUUACCUGGCAAAAUUAUGUUUUAUUUUUUAUGAGAUGUGAAGGAUUACCAUUCUAUUUCAAGCCUUUGCAUUGCUUUAAGCUUUAUCGCGACAACGGUUCGUUUCCAUGUUCUUGGCACAUGAGUGACGUUUGUGCAUGGUGUGUUAAAUGCCUGUUAAAUCCCUCUCUCUGACUUCUAAAGGUAAUCCUGACGGAAUGCUUUUCCAUAUUGCAUCCAUUUUACCAUGCAGAAGUAGAAAAACGAUAUUCUUCAUUACUGCCAUUGAGGAAACUGACAUACCAAAAUUCACUUGGACCAUUGUGCUCAAAAGAAUGAAGGAUGUUUGCCUUUAAAGCUCAGAGUCGUUUCAGUUUUUGCCUUUUUAAACUUCUUAUCUAAUAUCUGCUAAACAUGCGCUUCUUUAAUUAAGAUCAUCGGUUAAUCAUCACUAAUUAAAUGCAAGCAGAUUCUAUUAUUGAUGUCCAUUCUUCCACUACGUCUCUAUGGCUAAUAUUUAUUUAUAUGCAUUUCAUUGUCAUGUUCAGACUUCCAUAACUUGCAGUGAUAAUAAAGAAUGGCUGGGAAAAAAAACGGUGUCUGAGUGUCAAACUUCAUAUGGUUGGUUCAAAAUGUAUAUUUUAUUCAUUUGACAGAUGCUUUUAAUUGUAUAAUUCUUUUUUUUUUUUUUUUAUCAGCACAGGUGUUCCCUGGGAGUCAAAUCAAUGACCUUGGCGUUGCUAGUGUCAUGCUACCAGUUGAGCUAGAGGAACCACAAAUCAUACAUCACAAAGUAAUUUAGCCAUGAACCCUUGUAUUGACGUCGGAGUUGUAGAAAUUGAAUGCAGUUGAUGGAAAGGGUAGGAGAAUUACUCCUAAGGGUGUUGGAGAAAACAUCCAUUCUGAAAUGAUGCUCCCACGAUGCCUUUGCCCAGUCCUUCUCUGCUGCUUCAGUUAUUGAAAGCUUGUGAGUAAUUCUUGAUAUUUUAUAUGAUAUGCUCUUUAUACUCUUGGCAA